rnacentral:rRNA from 1 species
UCGACCUCGGAUCAGGAAGA